GAUGAACGCUGGCGGCGUGCUUAACACAUGCAAGUCGAACGAUGAAGCCCAGCUUGCUGGGUGGAUUAGUGGCGAACGGGUGAGUAACACGUGAGUAACCUGCCCUUAACUCUGGGAUAAGCCUGGGGAACUGGGUCUAAUACCGGAUAGGAGCGUCCACCGCAUGGUGGGUGUUGGAAAGAUUUAUCGGUUUUGGAUGGACUCGCGGCCUAUCAGCUUGUUGGUGAGGUAAUGGCUCACCAAGGCGACGACGGGUAGCCGGCCUGAGAGGGUGACCGGCCACACUGGGACUGAGACACGGCCCAGACUCCUACGGGAGGCAGCAGUGGGGAAUAUUGCACAAUGGGCGCAAGCCUGAUGCAGCGACGCCGCGUGAGGGAUGACGGCCUUCGGGUUGUAAACCUCUUUCAGUAGGGAAGAAGCGAAAGUGACGGUACCUGCAGAAGAAGCACCGGCUAACUACGUG
rnacentral:rRNA from 1 species